rnacentral:rRNA from 1 species
GAUCCUGGCUCAGAUUGAACGCUGGCGGCAGGCCUAACACAUGCAAGUCGAGCGGUAGAGAGAAGCUUGCUUCUCUUGAGAGCGGCGGACGGGUGAGUAAUGCCUAGGAAUCUGCCUAGUGGUGGGGGAUAACGUUCGGAAACGGACGCUAAUACCGCAUACGUCCUACGGGAGAAAGCGGGGGACCUUCGGGCCUCGCGCCAUUAGAUGAGCCUAGGUCGGAUUAGCUAGUUGGUGAGGUAAUGGCUCACCAAGGCGACGAUCCGUAACUGGUCUGAGAGGAUGAUCAGUCACACUGGAACUGAGACACGGUCCAGACUCCUACGGGAGGCAGCAGUGGGGAAUAUUGGACAAUGGGCGAAAGCCUGAUCCAGCCAUGCCGCGUGUGUGAAGAAGGUCUUCGGAUUGUAAAGCACUUUAAGUUGGGAGGAAGGGUAGUAACUUAAUACGUUGCUACUUUGACGUUACCGACAGAAUAAGCACCGGCUAAUUCGUGCC